rnacentral:rRNA from 1 species
UACGGAGGGGGCUAGCGUUGUUCGGAAUUAUUGGGCGUAAAGAGCUCGUAGGCGGUUCGGCAAGUCGGGUGUGAAAUUUCGAGGCUCAACCUCGAAACGCCACUCGAUACUGCUGUGACUGGAGUCCGGUAGAGGAGUGCGGAAUUCCUGGUGUAGCGGUGAAAUGCGCAGAUAUCAGGAGGAACACCAACGGCGAAGGCAGCACUCUGGGCCGGUACUGACGCUGAGGAGCGAAAGCGUGGGGAGCAAACAGG